GCGCCCGUAGCUCAACGGAUAGAGCACCAGCCUUCGAAGCUGGGGGUUGGGGGUUCGAUUCCCUCCGGGCGCGCCA
rnacentral:tRNA from 2 species